rnacentral:rRNA from 1 species
GGGCGGAGAUUGAGCAUUAGACUACAAAACACUGCCGAGCUACCCCGCUAUUGUAAUACCGCACCGAAGGUAUACGCGCAAGGGACCAGAAUAGUCGCGCUUUUUUUGUUGAGUGUAGCGAAUUUGUGCUACAAUUUAUCCCACCAAGUGAGAUUUCAACUGAGCGGGGCGUAUACGAGGCAUCUUGAGAGGCAGGCGGAGGUGGUGGAAAACAGCCCAUGUCCGAAGUCCUCCGCGUAUUAUGGGCGAAAGUUUUCAAGAGGGAAGUCUCCCAUGCUCAUACGCAGGGGUUCAUAUCACCCCAUUCAGGAACUUGAUCUCGUAAGAUGCCGUGGUUACAGGAUUCGCCACCGUUUCCAGUAGUCUUCAAAGUCAAAUAACAGAUUGUAGUGUUUCAACCGUUCGCCAGUGUACCCCCGAAGGGGCUUACCGCUCGACUGCAUGUGUUAAGCACGCCGCCAGCGUUCGUCCUGAGCAGGAUCAAAGUUAUCUAGAUGCAU